UGGCGGACCGGCGGCACGGGUGAGUAACGCGUAUCCAACCUGCCCUUUACUAUGGGACAGCCCGUCGAAAGGCGGAUUAAUACCGUAUGUUGUCAUGUUGAUGCAUAUUUUCAUGACCAAAGGCUUCGGCCGGUAAAGGAUGGGGAUGCGUCUGAUUAGCUUGCCGGCGGGGUAACGGCCCACCGGGGCGACGAUCAGUAGGGGUUCUGAGAGGAAGGUCCCCCACAUUGGAACUGAGACACGGUCCAAACUCCUACGGGAGGCAGCAG
rnacentral:rRNA from 1 species